rnacentral:rRNA from 1 species
AGAGUUUGAUCAUGGCUCAGGACUAACGCUGGCGGAAUGCUUCAUACAUGCAAGUCGUACGGCCCUUCGGGGCAGUGGCGGACGGGUGAGUAACACGUAGGUAACGUGCCCAAUACCUGGGGAUAACAGAGGGAAACUUCUGCUAAUACCGAAUAAGAUGCAAGGUGAAACUCCUUGUAUUGAAAACUCCGGUGGUAUUG